rnacentral:rRNA from 1 species
CAUGCAAGUCGACGAGAAGCCCGCAAGGGUGAGUAAAGUGGCGUACGGGUGAGUAACACGUGGGUAAUCUACCUCUGGGUGGGGAAUAACCCUGGGAAACCGGGGCUAAUACCGCAUAACACUGAAAGGUCAAAGGCGCAAGUCGCCUGGAGAGGAGCCCGCGGCUGAUUAGCUAGUUGGUGAGGUAAAGGCUCACCAAGGCUGUGAUCGGUAGCCGGCCUGAGAGGGCACACGGCCACACUGGCACUGAAACACGGGCCAGACUCCUACGGGAGGCAGCAGUGGGGAAUCUUGCACAAUGGGGGAAACCCUGAUGCAGCGACGCCGCGUGAGCGAUGAAGCCCUUCGGGGUGUAAAGCUCUUUCGGCAGGGACGAUAAUGACGGUACCUGAAGAAGAAGCUGCGGCUAACUACGUGCCAGCAGCCGCGGUAAUACGAAGGGGGCUAGCGUUGCUCGGAAUCACUGGGCGUAAAGGGUGCGUAGGCGGGUCUUUAAGUCAGGGGUGAAAUCCUGGAGCUCAACUCCAGAACUGCCUUUGAUACUGAAGAUCUUGAGUUCGGGAGAGGUGAGUGGAACUGCGAGUGUAGAGGUGAAAUUCGUAGAUAUUCGCAAGAACACCAGUGGCGAAGGCGGCUCACUGGCCCGAUACUGACGCUGA